UAAGCGGAGGAAAAGAAACCAACAGGGAUUGCUCUAGUAACGGCGAGUGAAGCAGCAAUAGCUCAAAUUUGAAAUCUGGCGUCUUCGACGUCCGAGUUGUAAUUUGUAGAGGAUGCUUCUGAGCAACCACCGACCUAAGUUCCUUGGAACAGGACGUCAUAGAGGGUGAGAAUCCCGUAUGCGGUCGGAAAGGUGCUCUAUACGUAGCUCCUUCGACGAGUCGAGUUGUUUGGGAAUGCAGCUCUAAAUGGGAGGUAAAUUUCUUCUAAAGCUAAAUAUUGGCCAGAGACCGAUAGCGCACAAGUAGAGUGAUCGAAAGAUGAAAAGCACUUUGGAAAGAGAGUUAAAAAGCACGUGAAAUUGUUAAAAGGGAAGGGAUUGCAACCAGACUUGCUCGCGGUGUUCCGCCGGUCUUCUGACCGGUCUACUCGCCGCGUUGCAGGCCAGCAUCGUCUGGUGCCGCUGGAUAAGACUUGAGGAAUGUAGCUCCUUCGGGAGUGUUAUAGCCUCUUGUGAUGCAGCGAGCGCCGGGCGAGGUCCGCGCUUCGGCUAGGAUGCUGGCGUAAUGGUCGUAAUCCGCCCGUCUUGA
rnacentral:rRNA from 1 species